rnacentral:rRNA from 1 species
GUGCCAGCCGCCGCGGUAAUACGUAGGCAGCAAGCGUUGUUCGGAGUUACUGGGCGUAAAGGGUGUGUAGGCGGUUGCUUAAGUUUGGUGUGAAAUCUCCCGGCUUAACUGGGAGGGUGCGCCGAAUACUGAGUGACUAGAGUGCGGGAGAGGAAAGUGGAAUUCCUGGUGUAGCGGUGAAAUGCGUAGAUAUCAGGAGGAACACCGGUGGUGUAGACGGCUUUCUGGACCGUAACUGACGCUGAGACACGAAAGCGUGGGUAGCAAACAGGAUUAGAUACCCUGGUAGUCC